GGCAGGGUAGCUUAGCUGGUUAAAGCAUCGGAUUCAUAAACCGAAGAGCGAGGGUCCGAAUCCCUCCCCUGCUACAA
rnacentral:tRNA from 1 species